ACGGGGGGUGCGAGCGUUGUCCGGAAUUAUUGGGCGUAAAGCGCGCGCAGGCGGUUUGGUAAGUCAGAUGUGAAAGGCAUGAGCUCAACUCUUGAAAGCCAUUGGAAACUGUGUGACUUGAGUGCGGGAGAGGAAAGCGGAAUUCCUGGUGUAGCGGUGAAAUGCGUAGAUAUUAGGAGGAACACCAGUGGCGAAGGCGGCUUUCUGGACUGUAACUGACGCUGAGGCGCGAAAGCGUGGGGAGCAAACAG
rnacentral:rRNA from 1 species